UGUGAAGCUGAAAUAAAAAGUAUUGAAGUACUGCUUUGAUUGUCACUAAAAUAAAUUGCCUUUUGAUGACUGGAUGGAAUGAAUUAAAUCAUGACAAACAGAUACAGGGCAGGCAGUU